GGCGUAGGUCUCGUUGGUGACCAGCGGAGGGAUCAUUACAGAGUUAUCCAACUCCCAAACCCAUGUGAACUUAUCUCUUUGUUGCCUCGGCGCAAGCUACCCGGGACCUCGCGCCCCGGGGGGCCCGCCGGCGGACAAACCAAACUCUGUUAUCUUCGUUGAUUAUCUGAGUGUCUUAUUUAAUAAGUCAAAACUUUCAACAACGGAUCUCUUGGUUCUGGCAUCGAUGAAGAACGCAGCGAAAUGCGAUAAGUAAUGUGAAUUGCAGAAUUCAGUGAAUCAUCGAAUCUUUGAACGCACAUUGCGCCCAUUAGUAUUCUAGUGGGCAUGCCUGUUCGAGCGUCAUUUCAACCCCUAAGCACAGCUUAUUGUUGGGACUCUACGGCUUCGUAGUUCCCCAAAGACAUUGGCGGAGUGGCAGCAGUCCUCUGAGCGUAGUAAUUCUUUAUCUCGCUUUUGUUAGGCGCUGCCCCCCCGGCCGUAAAACCCCCAAUUUUUUCUGGUUGACCUCGGAUCAGGUAGGAAUACCCGCUGAACUUAAGCAUAUCAAAGGCGG
rnacentral:rRNA from 1 species